rnacentral:rRNA from 1 species
UAGGGAAUCUUCCACAAUGGACGAAAGUCUGAUGGAGCAACGCCGCGUGAGUGAAGAAGGGUUUCGGCUCGUAAAACUCUGUUGUUAAAGAAGAACAUAUCUGAGAGUAACUGUUCAGGUAUUGACGGUAUUUAACCAGAAAGCCACGGCUAACUACGCGCCAG